AGUAACGGCGAGUGAAGCGGCAACAGCUCAAAUUUGAAAUCUGGCUCUCGGGCCCGAGUUGUAAUUUGUAGAGGAUGCUUUUGAUGCGGUGCCUUCCGAGUUCCCCGGAACGGGACGCCAUAGAGGGUGAGAGCCCCGUCUGGUUGGAUGCCAAAUCUCUGUAAAGCUCCUUCAACGAGUCGAGUUGUUUGGGA
rnacentral:rRNA from 1 species